rnacentral:rRNA from 1 species
AACGAACGCUGGCGGCAUGCCUAACACAUGCAAGUCGAACGAGACCUUCGGGUCUAGUGGCGCACGGGUGCGUAACGCGUGGGAACCUGCCCUUAGGUUCGGAAUAACUCCCCGAAAGGGGUGCUAAUACCGGAUAAUGUCUUCUGACAAAAGAUUUAUCGCCUUUGGAUGGGCCCGCGUUGGAUUAGCUAGUUGGUAGGGUAAAAGCCUACCAAGGCGACGAUCCAUAGCUGGUCUGAGAGGAUGAUCAGCCACACUGGGACUGAGACACGGCCCAGACUCCUACGGGAGGCAGCAGUGGGGAAUAUUGGACAAUGGGCGAAAGCCUGAUCCAGCAAUGCCGCGUGAGUGAUGAAGGCCUUAGGGUUGUAAAGCUCUUUUACCCGGGAUGAUAAUGACAGUACCGGGAGAAUAAGCUCCGGCUAACUCCGUG